rnacentral:rRNA from 1 species
GACGAACGCUGGCGGCGUGCUUAACACAUGCAAGUCGAACGGAAAGGCCCUGCUUUUGUGGGGUGCUCGGGUGGCGAACGGGUGAGUAACACGUGAGUAACCUGCCCUUGACUUUGGGAUAACUUCAGGAAACUGGGGCUAAUACCGGAUAGGAGCUCCUGCUGCAUGUGGGGGUUGGAAAGUUUCGGCGGUUGGGGAUGGACUCGCGGCUUAUCAGCUUGUUGGUGGGGUAGUGGCUUACCAAGGCUUUGACGGGUAGCCGGCCUGAGAGGGUGACCGGCCACAUUGGGACUGAGAUACGGCCCAGACUCCUACGGGAGGCAGCAGUGGGGAAUAUUGCACAAUGGGCGGAAGCCUGAUGCAGCAACGCCGCGUGCGGGAUGACGGCCUUCGGGUUGUAAACCGCUUUCGCCUGUGACGAAGCGUGAGUGACGGUAAUGGGUAAAGAAGCACCGGCUAACUACGUG